GUAGUUAUAGUUUAAUAAAAACAUUAGAUUGUGAAUCUAACAAUAAAAGAUAAAAUCUUUUUACCUACC
rnacentral:tRNA from 1 species